AUGGCAGUGACAACUCAGUUGACAUGGAUGCAAGAAAAGGUUCUGCAAAACUGUUUUGGAGGAAAGCAGUUCAGCCUUCUCUAUAAGGCUACAAUCCAUGGAUCCUCCAGUGGAGACUUGCUUCAGCGAUGCUCUAAUCAAGGACCAACUAUAACAGUGAUUUAUAGUGAAACGUAUAUUAUUGGGGCAUAUGUGCAAGAGAGUUACCAGCAAAUAAACAAAGGUUCUGUCAUCCUUUUUUCAUUCCAAAGGACUGAAAAUUCAGAAUUUGAAAUAAGACGAUUUAAGGCAUGUACUAACAAUGAUGUUGAUGGACAAAGAUGUGACAGAAACAUAUUAUACUAUGGCAACCGUGACUUAAAUAUAAAUAUAUAUACGUGUUACAUAUCUAUGAGUUACAAUAUAAUGAAAGAAAUUGGAUUACCUCUAGGUGAUAUCUGUUUUCAGGAAUGUGAGGUUUUUCGAUGUGAAGAUUUAUUGGAUCAAAGAAAGAUAAAUAUGGUCACUGAGCUCAGUAAGAGCUUAUCAUCUGACAUGAGAACUUACAACCCAUGUAGAGGUUUGGUUCACCAAAUACGAAUACUUCUCCUGGGUCCAACUGGAGCUGGAAAGUCUAGUUUUAUUAACUCAGUGAAGUCUGUUUUCCGAGGCCGUGUAACUAACCAGUCUGUGAUGGGCUUUGAUACAAAGCAGUUCAGGACAUAUUCCAUUAAGGAUGGGAAAGAUGGGAACCCCCUACCAUUUGUUCUAUGUGAUUCAAUGGGGCUGGGUGAGAAAGAGGAGGGGCUGUGCAUUGAUGACAUAUUCUACAUCUUAAAAGGCCACGUUCCUGACAGAUACCAGUUUAAUUCUAUAAAACCAAUCACACCAAGCCAUGUUAAUUACAUUGACUGUCCAUUGCUGAAGGACAGAAUUCAUUGUGUGGCAUUUGUGCUGGAUGCCAACACUGUUGAAAACCUCUCUCAGGAGAUGGUGGCAAAGAUCAAAAGAACUCGAAGGGAAGUGAUAAAGUGUGGUGUGGUACAUGUGGUUUUGCUCACUUAUGUGGAAGAUCUACAUCUGAUUACGAAAGCUGACCUUGUAGACCCAUACAGAUGUAUGCCUGUGAAGUUCAAGAUAGAGGCUGUCCACAGAGAACUUGGUUUUCCUCUUUCUGACAUCUUCGUGGUUAGCAAUUAUACCUUAGAGUGGGAGCUGAGCCUUUCAAAGAACUUUCUGAUCCUCUCUUCACUGAAGCAGAUGCUACGGGCUGCAGAUGACUUCUUAGAGGAUUUGCCUCCUGAGGAAACAGAUGGAAUUUUAAAAUGACCCUCCUUCGUCAUUCCUAAUGUUUGAACAUGGCAAGCUGUAUCCCUACCCUUUUCUCUCAGAAUGUGCUUCUUUGCUUGGAACCUACAACUGGAUUGGAUCAGGGUUAUUCCUGAUUAGAUGUGUGACCAGAAGGAAAAAACAAUCAAAUGUAUAAAACAUUUCUCAGAGAUCAGAAGAAAGAAAAAAAAAAAAAGAAGAAGAAAAAUGUAUGAGCUUGACUUCAUGAAUAAUUUUUAUCUCAUCAAAUAGUGAAGUUGAGAAAUGAGAUAAUACAGGAAAAAGAGAAGUAUCUGCAACUGAAGGAGUGCAUUUUAUUUAUGUCUAAGAUGAAGAUACACAUAAAAUCAUAGCACCUGUAAUAACUAAGAAUAGCACAAGUUAGUCAUUUAGUGUGACACACAACCAUAAUUUCUUUUGGAUUUAUAUCCUGUAUCCUGUGAAAAAAUUAAGGUUCUUCAUAUAAAACCCAAGGCUGACUUCCAUUUAUUGAACACCAAUUCAUUUUAGCCUUAUUCCAAAGGGGUAUGCAUGUGUGUAUGUGUGUGUGUGUGUGUUUAUGAAAGAGAGAGAGAAAGAAAGAGAUUAUGUGCUUGUACAGGUGUGUGUGAGAUCUUGGAAAAUUUUUUUUUUUUAAAUAUGGCUUGUCAGUAUCUCUGAUCUUCACCCACUUUGUCUUAAUUUUGCCUUCUUAAUUUGUUUUGAAAGAACUGUAUUUUCGUCUGUUUGGGUGUCCAUCUAAUGUGUUAUUCUUUCAUCUUAAAACUAAAGCCAUGUUUGUUGAAUAUCUUGACUCCUCUUCCAGGAUAUGAUGACUAAUAUUAAUAAGAUUUCUAUGGAACUCAAGCUGAAAGGGACUAUAAUCUGAUUACUUUAUCAGUUAAGAGGAUUUCAGUUACUAGCAAUAAAACUCAGCCUUCACUACCGGAAUAAAAAAGAGGGCUACUGUAUCGGAUCAAAUAAUCAAACAAUAGAAAGGGCUAGGAUUGAGCUGACCUCAGAGAUUAUUGAAUUUAGGAACUCAAAGCUAUUACGUUUCUGUUUCUUUCUCUCAUAUAUGGCCAGGGUGGGGGUGAUUUAUUAUCAGAGAAAGAAGUUAAUCACGGACAUGGCUAAAAUUGGAUCGACGGAGUCAUAGAGCUUGCACAUGGUACAUUGUAAUGGGUUGAAUAAUGGCCCUUCAAAAAGAUUAUUUUCACCCAGAACUUCAGAACGUGACCUAUUUGGAAUAAGGAUCUUUGCAGAUAUAAUUAAGGUAAGAAUCUUGAGAUAAGAUCAUCCUGGAUUAGGGUGGGCCCUAAAUGUAA